UAUAAUAUGACAUUAGUUAAAAUUUGUUGGUUUCUUUGGCUAAUGUAAUGAUUAAAAGGGACAGUUGGAGUAAUUUAUAUUGGUUGGGGAGGGGUGAAAUCCUAUGAUCCUUCCAAGAUAAACUAGUGCGAAAGCAUUUUACUAGGAUGUUUUCAUUAAUCAAGAACGAAAGUUGGGGGAUCGAAGAUGAUCAGAUACCGUCGUAGUCUCAACCAUAAACUAUGUCGACUAAGGAUGAUAAAAUAUUAAAUGAAUGAUUUUUGUCGCACUUUAAAAGAAAUUAAAGUAUUCAGACUCCGGGGGGAGUAUGGUCGCAAGGCUGAAACUUAAAGGAAUUGACGGAAGGGCACCACCAGGAGUGGAACCUGCGGCUUAAUUUGACCCAACACGGGGAAACUUACUAGGUCAGGACACAGUAAGGAUUGACAGAUUGAAAGCUACUUUCUUGAUUUUGUGGUAUGGU
rnacentral:rRNA from 1 species